GAGAGUCCUCAGAUUUUCUCCCAAACUAAAAACUUGCAUCCAAUAGAAUUUUGAUUCCUCAAUUAAACUAAUUGUCCACUGCCAUGUUUUGGCCCAACUUCUUUCGCUACUUUCAAGGCAGCUCCAGUAUGUUUUUAAUUUCACCAACCAGCAUGCAUUCCUUCACUUAAGCAGUAACUAGAUGUACUCGUUUUUGCUCAGAAUUUAGAUGUACUGUUACUGAACUACUGUCUUUCGUCUGCCUCCAUCUCCAUUGGUAUAACUCAGUUUUGUCCAGGUCUGCAUUUUGUUGUUGAUCAUGGGAAACUGGCACAUAGUUCUCAGGAAGCUCAUGCAAGUAUAAAACCUAUUGUACUGGUGGAGUGUUAAAUAAAAAUCACCUUUAAAUUGA